AAUGAAGCACCAGUUCUCGUAUGAUCACCAAAGUUAAGUAAUGUCAAGCCUGGUCAGUACCUAGAUGGGUGACCACUUGAGAAUAAUACCAGUUGUC